CGCAGCCUACGGGGGGCAGCAGUAGGGAAUCUUCCACAAUGGACGAAAGUCUGAUGGAGCAACGCCGCGUGAGUGAAGAAGGGUUUCGGCUCGUAAAGCUCUGUUGGGAGUGAAGAAAGAUAGAGGUAGUAACUGGCCUUUAUUUGACGGUAAUUACUUAGAGAGUCACGGCUAACUACGUGCCAGCAGCCGCGGUAAUACGUAGGUGGCAAGCGUUGUCCGGAUUUAUUGGGCGUAAAGCGAGUGCAGGCGGGUCAAUAAAGAUGAU
rnacentral:rRNA from 1 species